AUUUACGUUAUGAAACAAGCCAAACCCUAAAUAUAAGCAGCUUCAAAUUUUUGAAAAUACAAUAGUAAACAAGCUUGUUUCGGUUUGCCUAAGCUGAAGCCACCAUCAUCACCAACAACAAAGGUCAUGCCUAUAAAAAUGGACAUAGUGGAUUUACGAGGUGGCGGUCGGAGUCCAGCUUCGGGCGGGAGGAAUUGCUCGAUAUUUUAAGGGAGAAAUUCCUCGAAUUUUCAACAAGGCAACCAGGAUUUCAUCAAUCGACGGAUCAGGAUAUAUUAUGCGCUACCGGACCUGGCGGACGUUGAGGCCGGAAGCUCAAAUGCUCAUCUUUAAUCAACACGUCUUCAACAAAAGGCCACUUCUAACUGGAGUAAAAAAUAAGGUUUGUCAAUAAAACUUAGGAUGUAAAUUCAUAGAAGAUCAAGAAUGGAUAGCAUAGAAACUGAGCGAAAUCGAAUAAU